rnacentral:rRNA from 1 species
UGGGGAAUCUUGCGCAAUGGGGGAAACCCUGACGCAGCGACGCCGCGUGAGUGAUGAAGGCCUUCGGGUUGUAAAGCUCUGUGGAGGGAGACGAAUAAGCCAUGGCUAACAUCCAUGGUGAUGACGGUAUCCCUUUAGCAAGCACCGGCUAACUCUGUGCCAGCAGCCGCGGUAAGACAGAGGGUGCAAACGUUGUUCGGAAUUACUGGGCGUAAAGCGCGUGUAGGCUGCCCUGCAAGUCAGGUGUGAAAGCCCUGGGCUCAACCUAGGAAGUGCACUUGAAACUGCGGGGAUUGAGUGCUGGAGAGGGAAGCGGAAUUCUCGGUGUAGAGGUGAAAUUCGUAGAUAUCGAGAGGAACACCGGUGGCGAAGGCGGCUUCCUGGACAGUUACUGACGCUGAGACGCGAAAGCGUGGGGAGCAAACA